CCUACGGGAGUGCAGCAGUGGGGAAUAUUGCGCAAUGGGCGAAAGCCUGACGCAGCGACGCAGCGUGAGGGAUGAAGGCCUUCGGGUUGUAAACCUCUUUCAGCGGGGACGAAGCGAAAGUGACGGUACCCGCAGAAGAAGCACCGGCUAACUACGUGCCAGCAGCCGCGGUAAUACGUAGGGUGCAAGCAUUGUCCGGAUUUAUUGGGCGUAAAGAGCUCGUAGGCGGCUUGUCACGUCGGGUGUGAAAACUUGGGGCUCAACCCCAAGCCUGCACUCGAUACGGGCUAGCUAGAGUGUUGCAGGGGAGACUGGAAUUCCUGGUGUAGCGGUGAAAUGCGCAGAUAUCAGGAGGAACACCGGUGGCGAAGGCGGGUCUCUGGGCAACUACUGACGCUGAGGAGCGAAAGCGUGGGGAGCGAACAGGAUUAGAUACCCUGGUAGUCCACGCCGUAAACGGUGGGCGCUAGGUGUGGGGAACCUUCCACGUUCUCUGUGCCGCAGCUAACGCAUUAAGCGCCCCGCCUGGGGAGUACGGCCGCAAGGCUAAAACUUAAGGAAUUGACGG
rnacentral:rRNA from 1 species